rnacentral:misc_RNA from 1 species
UAUCUACAGCUUUAAAGGAGGUGCUGUGCUGUAGUGCUCAAUCAACCAAUGAAAUAAAAGGGCUUAGGAGAGAAAAUGAGAUACAACUCUCCUUGUGUGUAGGAUGAAGCAUUUUAUAAAACGUUUGCAAAUAAAUCAUUUUCGACGUAAUAAUGACUGGUAUAAUUUUUUAUACGAUAACAAAAGGUUAUUUUGUUAGAAUGGAACAAAUUUAAAAAAAAGUGGUUUAUUUAUUCCGUUGACGCAUCGCAUCUCCCUAGCAUCCAUUGACUGUAGCGUCUGGCUGUAGCUCCCAUGUUCGGCUGGUGGGUCUGUACGAAUGGGGUGGGAAGAACGAAGCAGUUGGCAUGUAAACGCUUCACUGAUUUCUCCAGUAAUCGUCGGAAGAACAUAUUAGACAUCGCGGGACGUUUCAUGUUCGGUUUGAUGUGUGAUUUAGUCGUUUUUAUACCUAAGGUGUUCUACAUGCCAAAUACAACGCUAGAAGAUGCCGCGGGAAAUGUACAAUCAGGAACAACGAUCGCCGAAACCGGCGAGAAGAUCGGAAACCAGUGGAGGUUCUAAACAGUACAGUACAGGCUCCCAGUCCGCAAGUGUGCGUGGUAGUCAGGGAACGAGCGCGUUUAGAACCACUUCGUCACCCUCGCAGACGCGCAAAAGCCGCCAUUACGGUGCUAGUCGAUCGAGUAAUACCAGCCCACUGACCCUACCAGCGGAACCUCACGUUCCUCACUCAAUCAGCAGCAGCGCAUUCAACGUUGGGCAUAGCUACUACGGCGACGAAGCAGGUAGUCCAGUAAUGGAUAGCAGGAGUGGCGGUACGGGAGGUGGUGGCACCCACCGCAGUAGGUCCGCUACUCGAGGCACUAUGAGAAGCUAUCACUCGUUGGAAAGAGACCAGGAUAGAGAAUUCAUUCCAAUUCGCGAGCCGAGGGAACGUUCCCUGGACCGUGCAGAUGUCAGCACAAGACAUUCGAGAACUCGCGAACGUUCGUUGGAUCGAGGAUAUCGAGAGAGGGACGAUAGAGACCACAUGGGCUAUAGAGACGUCGAUCCAGUCAUGGAAAGUGAUCCUUAUCGCGAAGGAGGUCACGUAUCGAGAAGAGGUCACAGUUCAACAGCGGCUUAUAACACGGACAGUCGCCACGGUGGUAAUUACAGUAGGGAUGGUUUUGUCAUGGAACUGCAAUCUCGGUUAGCGGAGAUACAAAGUCAGUACGGUAGUGUUAAAAGGGAACUUGAUGCAACCACACAAAAACUAGGAUCCAGUAUGCAUAGUAUUAAAACAUUUUGGAGUCCAGAAUUGAAGAAAGAACGAGCUUUAAGGAAGGAAGAAGCGGCCAAAUAUUCUCUAAUUAAUGACCAACUUAAGGUUCUGCGUUCGGAAAACCAGAAACAAGCAGCAAUGAUGAGACAGCUUGAAGAAGAAUUACGUCUUUCUCAUAUGCGAAACCCUGAUGCCGAAGUCCAACAACAUUUAGAAGUAUUAUAUCAAGAAAAAGACCAUAUGACUAAAGAAAUUUAUCUCCUCAGGGAAACAAUUAAAGAAUUAGAAAUGAGAAUUGAAACUCAAAAGCAAACUCUUAUUGCUCGGGAUGAAAGUAUUAAAAAGCUCAUGGAAAUGUUACAGAACAAAGGAAUUGGAAGCAAAAUGCUAGAAGAAGAAAGAAUUGAAAUGGAACGACUCAAAACAAAACUAAUUGAAACUGAAGGCCACUCUCGCCAUUUAGAAAGUAUGCUAGAAAUGAGAGAAAAAGAGUUAACAAAACAAUUAAGAAGUCAAGAAUUAUCAAGGACAACUGGUAGGCAAAGUUCCAAUGCAAUCUUAGAGGCUAUCAUAGAAACCAAGGAUGCCAGAAUAUCAACUCUAGAAAGUGAAAUAGAUAUGUUAGAAAAAGAAGUUCUCUGUUUUAGAAAUAAUGAAAGAUUUAGCAACCAGUCACUAAUACCAGAUCACAAUCAAUCUUGGGAAUCCACUGAUAAGCAAAAUAAAAAGCAGAUGGAUGAACUAAGAAUGGAAUUGAAUAAAAGAGAUCAAGAAAUUUUGGCAAUGGGAGCAAAGAUGAAAACAUUAGAAGAACAGCAUCAUGAUUAUCAGAGGCAUAUAGCAGUUUUAAAAGAAUCAUUAUGUGCAAAGGAAGAACAUUAUAAUAUGUUACAAGCUGAUGUGGAAGAACUGAGACAACGAUUAGAGGAAAAAAAUAAAUUAAUUGAGAAAAAACAACAACAAACAAUGACUUCAUCUCAAGAUAGGAAUCGUCUUACUCAGGAAAUACAGGAACUGAGAGAUCAUAUGGACAUCAAGGAUAGAAAAAUUAAUGUUUUGCAAAGAAAGAUUGAAAAUAUGGAAGAUUUAUUGAAAGAAAAAGACAAUCAAGUUGAUAUGGCAAGAGCUCGCUUGAGUGCUAUGCAAGCCCAUCACUCAUCCUCCGAGGGUGCGCUCUCCAGCUUGGAAGAGGCAAUCAGUGACAAAGAGAAGCAGAUAUCCCAGUUAAGAGAUCAAAGGGAUCGUGCAGAGCAAGAACGAAAUGAAGAAAGAGAUCUGCAUGAAAGAGAAAUUGCCGAAUACAAGAUGAAGAUGCACGCCCUCGAAAGUGAAAUGGAAAAGUUGCAGAUGAGAUUGGAAAAAUCAGCAGGAGAGAAGGAUCGAAUGGAGGUGAAAUUAGAAAAUUCUCAAUCAGAAUUAGGUCAGGUUAGAGCAGAGCUAGAAAAAUUACAAAGUGAAACAUAUAAAAUACAAAAUGAAUGGGAAAGGGAUAGAAGUGAAAAUUCUCGUUUAUCUUUAGAGAAUGAACGAUUAAAAGAACAAGUUGAUAGAAUAAAAUCUGAUUUAGAUAGGUCUCAAAGUUCUUUAGGUAAAAGCCACUUAUAUCAAUCUGAAGAAGUAGAACGUCUUCAAGAAAGAUUAGAAAGAGUACAGUCUGAAUUAAGACGAGCACAAGCUGAAUUACGCAUGAAUCAGGCUGAACAAGAUCGUUCACGUGGAGAAUUAGAACAAUUACAGGAAAAAGUUGAAAGAUCUCAAGGUGAAAUUUAUCGACUGAAAGCAAAAUUAGAAAAUUCACAAGCAGAGAAAGAAGGUCUUCAAGAAGAAUAUGAUCGUGUACAAGCAGCAGCUGCAAGAGCACAAUCUGAGAGAGAUUCAUCAAUUUCUGAAUCUGAAAAGCUUAAAAAUGAAGUGGAACGUCUUCAGACAGCUCUAAUCAAGAGUCAAACAUUGCAGGAGAAAACUCAAACGUCGUUGGACAAUGCUCAGAUUGAAUCAGAUAGAAUACAAGAAAAAUUAGACAAAGCUAAUGCUGAAAUUCGAAGAAUGCAGUCAGAACGGGAAAGAGCUCAAGGUGAUGUUGAAAGUUUCCAAACACAGAUUAGUCAGGCACAAAGUCAGAUUUUAAAAUUACAGAAAGAGAAAGAUACUACCCAAUAUGAAGUUGAUAAAAUUCAAGAGAAAUAUGAUAGAAUACAAUUACAACUUCAUAGAAUUCAAAAAGAAAAAGAUAGUACUCAUUCUGAUAUGGAAAAAAUGCAAGAACGAAUUGAUUUACUACAGGCACAAUUAAAUAAAUCAUUAAAAGAAAAAGAAAAUGCUCAAGCAGAGUUUGAAGUUAUUAAGGACAGAUGGGAAAAAACACAGAGUCAAUUAGAUAAGUUCCAUGUUGACAGAGAUUCAUCUCAAACAGAGUUGAAAUUACUAAAAGAAAAACAAGAAAAACUGCAAAGUCAGUUAUUAAAGUCACAAGAAGAUAAAGAAUUAUCUCGGGUAGAACAUGAAAAAUUAUUAGAAAAAAUUGAUAGAUCACAAUCAGAAAUUACAAGACUACAAAUGAAAUUAGAUCAAGCACAAGCAGAAGUUGAUCGUGUUACUGUUGAGUUAGAAAAAUCUCAAUUAAUAACAAAUAAAACAAAAGAAGAACAUAGGAAGUCUAUAGAUAAUUAUGAAGGAAUUCAAGAACUUUAUACACGUACUAGUGUACAACUUUCUAAAAGUAAAGAAUCAGAAGAAAAAUUAAAAACUGAGUUAGAACGCUGUCAGAUGGAACUUGAAGUUUUGAGAAGUAGGCAUGAGAAGACUCAAAUAGAGCUUAGAAAACUACAGUCUGAGAGAGAAGGAUUUCAGGCAGAAGUAGAUCGAUUAUCAAUAGAAUUAGAUAGAACCCAAGCACAAAUUGGAAAAACACGUACAAAUGAAGAAAAAAAUCAAGAAGAGUUAACUAGAAUGCAUUCAGACCUUGAAAAAAUUUAUGAAAAGUUAGAUAAAUCCCAAUCAGAAUUACGCAGGACACAAGUAGAAAAGGAUAGAUUUCAAACUGAAAAAGAAAAUCUGCAGUCAGAAUUGGAAAGAUAUCAGAUUCAAGCAAGCAAGUAUCAAACUCUUCAAGAAAAGUCACAAAUUGAAAUUGAUAGGAUUAAAAUCGAUAUUGAAAAAAUUCAAGAUAAGUAUAAUAAAUCUCAAUUAGAAAUAGAAAGAUUGACAGGUUUGAAAGAAAAAAUGGCCUCUGAAAUUGCUUCUUUACAAAAUGACUUAGAUAAGCUAUAUUCUGAAAAGGGAAUUACGCAAGAAGAACAUAAAAGACAUGCAGCUGAAGUUGAAAGAUUAAAUAUUGAAAUUGAAAAAAUAAGAGAUAAAUAUGAAAAUACCAAGAUAGAAUUGCAAAAUGUUUUGGAUAUUAAAGAAAAACAACAACUUGAGAUUGAGGACUUAAAAAAACAUAAAGAUGAAGUUGAAAAACUUCGUAAUGAAUUAAAACAUAUUCAAGAAGAAUAUAAAUCUACUAGAGAUGAUCUGCAACAUUUACUUGAAGCUAAACAUAGGCAGCAAGCAGAACUUGAAUCUCUUAGAGAGAACAAAAGUGAAAUACAAAAACAUAAAGAAGAAACACAAAAGUUACGUGCUGAACUUCAGAAAAUUACAGAAGAAUAUAAAAGUACUAAGGAAGAUCUUCAACAUUUAUUGGAUGUUAAACAUCAGCAACAGUCUGAAAUAGAAAACUUAAAAGAAAGUAAAACUGAAGUUGAAAAACAUAAAUCAGAAAUUCAAAAAUUACGAGCUGAAUUGAAUGGUAUAACAGAGAAAUAUAAUACUACUCAAUCUGAACUUCAAAGUUUAUUAGAUCUAAAACAAAUGCAACAAUUAGAAAUUGAAAGUUUGAAGAAUAAUAAAACAGAGGUUAAGCAACAUAAGGAUGAAAUGGAAAAACUUAGGAAAAAAUUAUCAGAUUUAACAUUAGAGUACAAUUCAGUUAAAUCAGAUUUAGAGCAUGUACUUGACACAAGGGAUAAGCAAGAAUCUGAAAUAGAAAACUUAAGGAAAUAUAAAAUUGAAGUUGAAAAGCAUAAAUCAGAAGUAAGUAAAUUACACAAGGAAUUAGAACAUUUAAAUAAUGAAUAUCAAUCUAUUAAAAUUGAUUUUCAAAAUUUACUGGAAAUAAAACAUCAGCAACAGUCUGAAUUAGAUAAUUUAAAAGUUAAAAGUUCUGAGGCUGAUAAAUUGAAGAAAGAAUUGACAACUGUGAAAGAGCAUUAUGAAUCAACCAAAUUAGAAUUACAGAAUAUUCUUGAAAGCAAAAUGCAGCAACAAGAAGAUAUAGAAGUGUUACGUAAACAUGCUGCAGAAGUAGAAAGAUUGCAUGUUGAAUUAGAAACAUUUAAAGAAAAAUAUGAAUCUACUAAAAUUGACUUACAACAACUUAAUAAAUUAAAUAAUCAACAAAAAGAAGAAAUAGAUAUUCUUGGUAAAGAAUUAGAAACAUUCCAAACAAAAGCAAAGAAGCAUGCUAAAGUAGAAGAGAAACAUAAAAAAGAAAUGGAUCGAACAACUAAAGAACUAGAAAAAUUGAAACAAAAACUAGAAACAAAUCAAGCAGAAUUGAAAAAAUUACAGGAGGAAAGAGGAACUUUAUUAGCAGAAGUAACUAAUUUGCAAACUUCACUUGCAGAAGCUCAUUCUCAAUUAAAUAAUAUUCAAUCAAAUAAUCAACAAGCAGCUGAUGAUGUUCAAAGAAUAACAGGAGAAAUUGACAGAGUCAAACAGCUUCUGAGUAAAUCUGAAGCAGAAUUACAGAGAACUCUAUCUGAUAAUAGUCGCUUACAUAUGGAAGUUGAAAAACUGAAACAAGAUUUAGAAGAUGCUGAAACAUAUAUUGCAAAGAGUCAAGAGGAUACUAAAUCUGCUAAGUCUAGCCAAGAAAAAUUAAAUGGAGAAAUUAAGAAGCUAAAGAAACAAUUAGAAAGUAGCCAAAAAGAAUUAUCAAAAACAAAUGAAGAAAGAGAUAAACUAAAACAAGAAUUACAGAUUUAUCAGGAAGAAUUAGAAAAUAUGCAUACUAAUAUUAAAAAAACACAUGAAGUUCAAGAAACAUCUCAAGAAGAAUUAAGUCGUUCACAAAAGGAAUUAGAGCAAAUGAAUAAAGUUCUAAAAAAUAUGGAAGACCAACUUCAAAAAACUGAAGUUGAAAAUGAAGUUCUAAGAACUGAAUUGAGUAAAUCCAUGGAAGAACUUAAUAGUCUUCAACGACAUUUAGAAGAAUCAAAGGCUGAAGUUCAAAAAGUAAAAGAACAAAAUAAACAAUUAAAAGCACAGCAUAAGGCAAAAGCAGCUGAUAAAAAUGGAAAAGAUAAACUAGAAAAAGAAGUUGAGAAAUUACAAAAAGAAUUAGAAAAACAGAAACUAGAAACUGAAAAAAUGGUUAAAGAAGCACAGCAAGUAAAGAAGCAAUUACAAAAGGCUCAAGAAGAAGCCAAGAAUUUUUCUAUAGAGAGAGAGAGAUUCCAAGGACAAUUAGAAAUGUUAAUUCAAGAAUUGGAAAAAAGGGAGGCAGAUAUUCAAAAAUUACAAAGUCAGCAGCAAGGCAAAGCACCUCAAGAUACAGCUGAAUUAGAUACAUUAAGAAAACAGUUAUCAGAAAAGGAACAAGUUGUGAAAGAUUUAGAGAAAAAAUUAAAACAUAGACAAGAUAAAUUAGCUAAACUAGAAAAUCAGUUGAAACAGUUGCAAAGUGAAGUUACAUCUGUUCCAAAGGGAGAUACAACUCAACAGAUCACAAAUCUUCAACAAAAAUGUGCAGAACUUGAAAAAGCAAAAUUGAAUAGUGAAAAAGAAGUGGCUAAGGCAAAAGAAGAUGCUAGUCGAUCACAAGCUGAAUUGGAACGUUUAUUGCAGAUUAUGACAACAAGUGAAGAAGAAAAGUUUGCCUUAAAUAAUCAAAUUAAAGAAUUACAAGAGUCUUUGAAAGAAAAAGAAGCAAAACUAAACAGUAUGAAAAGAAAUCAGCAGACUGAAAAAACUCGCAGUGCUCAGAUGUUAGAGGAAGCAAGACAUAGAGAAGGUGAAAUGAGUAAAGAUGCUUCCAAACAACAAGAAUUAUUGCAACAGCAAAGAGACAGAAUCGAAGAAUUGGAAGAAGCAUUGAGAGAAAGUGUGACCAUUACCGCAGAAAGAGAAGUGGCUGUGGCACAAAAAGAUAUUAUGAUAAAAGCAUCAGAAGAAAAGAUUAUUCGUUUGCAUGCAGAACUGAGAGCCCUACAAAAUACUCAUAAUGCAAGAUGUACAAAUUGUCCACCAAUGAAAGUACAAUUGAAUGAGUUAGAUAGUAAAUUGAAGAAAUUAGUAGCAGAAAGAAAAAGCCAUUUAGAAGAGCUCUUUGAAAUGAAACAGGAAGCAUUGUCAGCUGCUGUAAGUGAAAAAGAUGCUCAUUUAGCAUUAUUAGAGAUGUCUGGUAUUAAAAAUGCUCAAACUGCUGAAGAAGUAGAUAGAUUGAAAACAGAAAGAAGAUGUCUUUUAGAAAAAAUUAAAAUAGAGAAUGAAAAUAGGGUGAAACUUUUGUUGGAAUUGGGUGAGAAAUUACCAGAAACUAAUGGAAAACAUGAAGAUUCAUAUAUUAAUAAAGCAAAGCAGGAUGCAGAAGAUGGACUGAGGUCUUAAUAUAUUUGUGAUGAUGGGUUAUCUCAUUAGCCACAGUUGGACACAUUUCCUCUCAUUUCAUUGUUCAACCAUCUUUUGGAAAACUUCUUCCCUUUGCUUCAUCAUCUCUUGUAGUCUGAUCAUAUUUGUAAAAUGGAGAGUGAUAACAUUGAAGGGAACAAUUUGUAUAGAAGAAAUUAUCUAUUAAAAACUUUGUAUAUGGGAUGUAUACUAAAGUAGCUGAAUUGGAAGAUAGAUAGCAGCAUUGUACUGUACAAAAGAAUAUAAUAUUACAGUUUUUAAGUGAAAAUAUAUAUGAAAACUUGUCUGUGAAGAAAGGAUUAUCCUAGAUGUGCCUUUGAAAGAAAGUGACAUUAACAUCAAUAUUGAGGAUGAUAUUUUAUGGAAAUAUGUUGACUAUGUACAAUUAAGCUGCAGAUGAGUUUAUGAAGGAAUCAAGAGAUAAUAUGUAUUUUCAAUUGGUGCUUCACUGUGAUGGCAUUCAUCUUUUUGAAACCUAUUUGUGCAUUCCUAUUAAAAUAAUCCAAACUUUUCCAAGAGUUAGAGUUAAAAUAAUUGAAUAACUCUUGUGAUAUAAAAUUGUUGACUGCCAUCCAAGCAUCUAAUGUGUGGUGUUGUUCUGUCAAUAUUGUUCAAAUAUCUUAAACUUGCUGAAAAUGCAUGAAUUAGAUUUGAAUACUAUUAUACUCUAAAGGAAACUGUUUCUUCCUUCUCUAAAAAGUAUAUAUAUAUAUAUGUAUCUAAGUGUGUAUGUGUAUAUUUACUUAUUAUAUGUAUAUACACAUGUACAUAUAUAUAUGUACUU